rnacentral:ncRNA from 16 species
GGAAGAGGGGUGAAAAUCCCCCGCUGCCCCGCAGCCGUGAAGGGAACGAACGCCAAACGAAUACCGGGUUGCAUUCAAAGGGAUAACAAGGCGGCAAAGAGGAGGCGACUCAGGCGUAUAUAGAUCAUACGUCAAGGAGCCCCCGACGAAGCCAGCGGAGUCACCGAAGAAAGGCAAUCUGGUAUGAGCCACUGUCAAAGUGCGAUGGGAAGGCUGGUCAGUAGGUCGCCCGAAGCCGGAAUAC